UAACCGGUAAAUUUGGUUACCAUCUCAUAAGCUGGAAAUUCCACAAAUCAUAGCUGAGUUGCUGAAUAUUUGCACUGCAUUACCAACGUACCUAGAAUCGCGGUGACAAGAAGUGGUAAAAUUUUUUGGUAAU